rnacentral:rRNA from 1 species
UACGGAGGAUGCAAGCGUUAUCCGGAAUUACUGGGCGUAAAGCGUGCGCAGGCGGUUUGUUAAGUCCGCUGUGAAAUCCCCGAGCUCAACUUGGGAAUUGCAGUGGAUACUGGCAAGCUGGAGUAUGGUAGAGGAAGGUGGAAUUCCCGGUGUAGCAGUGAAAUGCGUAGAGAUCGGGAGGAACACCAGUGGCGAAGGCGGCCUUCUGGACCAAUACUGACGCUCAUGCACGAAAGCGUGGGGAGCAAACAGG